rnacentral:tRNA from 1 species
UGGGGUGUAGCUUAGUGAUAGAGUGCUUGCUUAGCAAAUGUGAGGCCCUGCAUUCAAUCACCAGCACUGCAA